UCAGUGGAUUGCGGCCCCGAGGGGGUGGCUGUGCACUGGACUCGGGCCCCUGGAGGUGUGGAAGCCUACGAGCAGAAGGGAGCAGGGGCGCAGAGGUGGUUGAAGACGAAGCAGGUUGGCUGUGACCCCCAGGGCCUGUUCCAGUGCCAAGUGGACCCAGGGGACAGUGUGGCCAGCCUGUAUGUGGUCCCCAAAAACUCACCCUGCCCUGUGGCUGUGCAGCCGUCAGUAGCCCUGUGGACCGGGAGCUUCGUGCUGGCCCUGCUCGUCCUGGCGUUCCUAGGCCACCGUCUUCGAAGAUGCUGCCAGUCCCUGGACAGAGCACCACGCACACCAAUGUCUUUGUGCCUGUGAGACGCGGUUGGACCCUUCCCUGGCUUGGUUGUGACCACGGAACAUUUGCAUGGCCCUGUGCCCUGAUGGCCAAAGGCUAAUAUACACACACACACCCAGCAAGGCCCUGGAGCGCCCAUUCCAACAGUUCAGAGCUGGGGAAUAAAGGGCAUUUGGGAUGAG